rnacentral:tRNA from 1 species
AGUUAAUUAGCUUAUAUAAAGCGUAUGUCUUGAAAAUAUAAUUAAGGUUCAGCCAACCUAUUAACUU